CACUAGUGAUUGUUUGAUCCUGGCUCAGGAUGAACGCUAGCGGCAGGCUUAACACAUGCAAGUCGAGGGGUAGAGGAAGCUUGCUUCCUUGAGACCGGCGCACGGGUGCGUAACGCGUAUGCAACCUACCUUUUACAGAGGGAUAGCCCAGAGAAAUUUGGAUUAAUACCUCAUGGUAUAUAUCAUUCGCAUGUUUGAUAUAUUAAAGUUCCAACGGUAAAAGAUGGGCAUGCGUCCUAUUAGCUAGAUGGUAAGGUAACGGCUUACCAUGGCAACGAUAGGUAGGGGUCCUGAGAGGGAGAUCCCCCACACUGGUACUGAGACACGGACCAGACUCCUACGGGAGGCAGCAGUGAGGAAUAUUGGACAAUGGGCGCAAGCCUGAUCCAGCCAUGCCGCGUGCAGGAAGAAGCAUCUAUGGUGUGUAAACUGCUUUUGUACGGGAAGAAACACUCCUUCGUGAAGGAGCUUGACGGUACCGUAAGAAUAAGGAUCGGCUAACUCCGUGCCAGCAGCCGCGGUAAUACGGAGGAUCCAAGCGUUAUCCGGAAUCAUUGGGUUUAAAGGGUCCGUAGGCGGUUUGGUAAGUCAGUGGCGAAAGCCCGCAGCUCAACUGUGGAACGGCCAUUGAUACUGCCAGACUUGAAUUACAAGGAAGUAACUAGAAUAUGUAGUGUAGCGGUGAAAUGCUUAGAUAUUACAUGGAAUACCAAUUGCGAAGGCAGGUUACUACUUGUGGAUUGACGCUGAUGGACGAAAGCGUGGGGAGCGAACAGGAUUAGAUACCCUGGUAGUCCACGCCGUAAACGAUGGAUACUAGCUGUUGGGGGCAACUUCAGUGGCUAAGCGAAAGUGAUAAGUUCCCACCUGGGA
rnacentral:rRNA from 1 species